rnacentral:rRNA from 1 species
AUACGUAGGUGGCAAGCGUUGUCCGGAUUUAUUGGGCGUAAAGCGAGCGCAGGCGGUUUUUUAAGUUCUUGAUGUGAAAGCCUUCGGCUUAACCGGAGAAGUGCAUCGGAAACUGGGAGACUUGAGUGCAGAAGAGGACAGUGGAACUCCAUGUGUAGCGGUGGAAUGCGUAGAUAUAUGGAAGAACACCAGUGGCGAAGGCGGCUGUCUGGUCUGUAACUGACGCUGAGGCUCGAAAGUAUGGGUAGC